rnacentral:rRNA from 1 species
UACGUAGGGGGCAAGCGUUGUCCGGAAUUAUUGGGCGUAAAGAGCGUGUAGGCGGUCCGAUAAGUCGGCUGUGAAAGUCCAGGGCUCAACUCUGGAAUGCCGGCCGAUACUGUCGGACUAGAGUGCGGAAGAGGCGAGUGGAAUUCCUGGUGUAGCGGUGAAAUGCGCAGAUAUCAGGAGGAACACCAAUUGCGAAGGCAGCUCGCUGGGACGUUACUGACGCUGAGACGCGAAAGCGUGGGGAGCAAACAGG